CUUUUGACGAAUUUUCGCUGACCAAAUUUACUCUGGAUUUUCGGAGAGAAAUGUUUCGGAAGACUUCCAAGUGUCAUGAUCUAAAACGUCGAAUCCUUUCUCUGUAAAUGUCAUGGGUAUCUGGUCGAUAUCGUCAGUGUCUUGCCUCAAUACUUCCACGUCAUAUUGUUCUUUUAAAAAAUUAAGUCUUGUAAACACCCAUGCACACACUUGCAAUGGUCACAUAAUCUAAAACAUCAACCCCUUGCCCGUGUGUGUUUUUCGUUUUCCCCGUUCCAGUUACCUCCAACAUCAAAUCACGAAAUCUUAACACUCCUUCCCUCAAGAUCGUCGUGUCACUGCAAUAGUAUUCUUUUAUUUCUUUUGCAAAGUCAAAUACUUCGUUUGUUUUCGUUUUGUACCACGACAAAAAAUCACUCCUGUCAUCCUUACUCAUGUA
rnacentral:lncRNA from 1 species